UUUGUGUUUUAAAAUUCCAUUAAUUGGCUAUGUAGCUGCUUUUUCCGAGCCCCGUGCCAAGCGCAGUAAAAUCACAGUCCGGCUGGAGUUAUUUUCAUCAUGCAAAUUCCCAUUUCUGUAAACAGGGUUAAAGCCCAGAAAGGGCCGGGCUGAACGUGUCCUCAGACUGGGAGGUGUCAGACUCCGAUCCUCUCAUUGCCCCCGCAAGUAUAUCCGGAGGAUUCCUCCAAUCGCUCUCUCCUGGAAGACCACUCCCAGCACCCUACUAGGUAAAAUCCCCCAUUUCCUUCACUUUCUCCUCUCUCCCCAUCUGAACAACUUGCAUCAUUAAAUCACUCUCGUGUAUCAUUACAUCGAGGCACAAAAUGAGGCCCAGGAAGAGGCCUGAGGUGCUGGGUAUGUUCCUGUGGGAGCCCAGUUACCUGCCACCCGGCCACCAGACCCCUGAGGGCUUGGGGAGGCGGAGGCUGGAGCCACAGGCAGCCAGGGCUGCAGGAGGAGGCACACUAACCCAGAAUGCUCUCCUCCCUCCCAGCAUCCCCACUUCCAGCCCCUGCCUGGAGAGGAAGAUGAGGGGGUCCCUGCUGGGACCUUGCCAGCCCCUGUACCAGACAUGGGAGCCUUUGCCCUGCUCUGCCCAGACAGCCUCUGUGGGCUCAGGGAGCCAAAGCAGGGAUCCACUCACAAGGAUUCAGCAGAGCCCAGAUUCUGAAGCUGGAAGGAGAGAUGGAGACAUUGAGGCUCCAGGAGAGGAAGCCACUGCCCCAGGAGCCUAGAUCUGUUGGUUCUUUGCCUCUGCAUCACCUAGUUUCAAAUGACCCAAGCCACCUCCUGCCUCCUGGCCCUUGGGCAUCUUCCCCUCCCCUGCUUCAGACCCUGGACCCUUCAGCCGCAGAGCCCAGGGGUCCCUGUCCCUGUCCCUGUCCUGGGACACCACGCUCAGAUACCCUGGGUGGCUAAAGGAAGCAGGGCUUGGGGCUUUCUGCAGGAACAGCCAUCACACCCCAGAGCUUUCCUAGAGUGGUCGUAGGCUGAGUAGUACCUCCUCCACACCCACCCAAACACACACACCCAAACAGGCUGCAGGGUGUGGUUUGAUAAAAGGAAGACAUGGCUCAAGGUUCCAGGCUCCUGCUGGUUUUUCAAGGCAA
rnacentral:lncRNA from 1 species